rnacentral:rRNA from 1 species
CAAGGUUUCCGUAGGUGAACCUGCGGAAGGAUCAUUAUUGAAAUAAACCUGAUGGGUUGCUGCUGGCUCUCUAGGGAGCAUGUGCACGCUUGUCAUCUUUAUAUCUCCACUUGUGCACCUUUUGUAGAUCUGGAUAUCUUUCUGAAUGCUUGGCAUUCAGGUUUGAGGAUUGACUUUCGUCUUUCCUUACAUUUCCAGGCCUAUGUUUUCUUCAUAUACCCCAUGUAUGUUAUAGAAUGUAAUAAAAUGGGCCUUUGUGCCUACAAACCUAUACAACUUUCAGCAACGGAUCUCUUGGCUCUCGCAUCGAUGAAGAACGCAGCGAAAUGCGAUAAGUAAUGUGAAUUGCAGAAUUCAGUGAAUCAUCGAAUCUUUGAACGCACCUUGCGCUCCUUGGUAUUCCGAGGAGCAUGCCUGUUUGAGUGUCAUUAAUAUAUCAACCUCCUCAGGUUUUUACUUGUUGAGUGUUUGGAUGUGGGGGUAUUUUUUGCUGGUCUUUUUCGAGGUCGGCUCCCCUAAAAUGCAUUAGCGGAACAAUUUUGUUGACCGUUCAUUGGUGUGAUAACUAUCUACGCUAUUGACGUGAAGCAUGUUCAGCUUCUAAUUGUCCAUUGACUUGGACAAAUUUUCAUUAAUGUGACCUCAAAUCAGGUAGGACUACCCGCUGAACUUAAGCAUAUCAAUAAGCGGAGGAAAAGAAACUAACAAGGAUUCCCCUAGUAACUGCGAGUGAAGCGGGAAAAGCUCAAAUUUAAAAUCUGGCA